GCCAGAGUGGCUCAAUGGUAGAGCAGGCGCAUCGUAAGCGUCAGGUUGAGAGUUCGAUUCUCUCCUCUGGCUCCA
rnacentral:tRNA from 1 species